rnacentral:rRNA from 1 species
UACGGAGGGAGCAAGCGUUAUUCGGAAUCACUGGGCGUAAAGGACGCGUAGGCGGGUUUGUAAGUCAGAUGUGAAAUCCUACAGCUCAACUGUAGAACUGCACUUGAAACUACAGACCUAGAGUAUGGAAGGGGCAGAUGGAAUUAGUGGUGUAGGGGUAAAAUCCGUAGAUAUCACUAGGAAUACCGAAAGCGAAGGCGAUCUGCUGGGACAUUACUGACGCUGAGGCGUGAAAGCGUGGGGAGCAAACAGGAUUAGAAACCCGAGUAGUCC